AUAGACACAGGAUACAAGAUGGCGAGCCAAACCCAUGGACAAAGUUUCUAGAAACAGCUCGGCUUCUUCGUGCCAGAGAGGAUCUGCUGUGUACAAAGGGACGCUGUUAAACUCACUGCCAGAGCGAUCAUGUUUAUUUUUUUAGGUACUGCACUUCAGAAAUCACUGGGCCAAAGUUCUGAAUCUCAACUCUUACCAACUUUAUUUAUGCUUUUCAGACUCACAGAAGCCGGGCUUCAUGGCUGCUUUCUUCUGGCUGGAUCUGGAUACAGAAGAAGUGUGUGGUUCCUCCUUCUCUAUCUCAUCAACACCUUGCUUUCUCUUGUUUCGACCCUUCUUUUCC
ensembl:lncRNA